GCAUUUUUAAUCUCACAUACAAGAAUACAAGAGGAGGCACCUGGAGAAAGCACUGAAUGAAGGAUCUGCAUAUGUUGGAUACCAUAAAGGAAUCAAGGCCAUGACUUCAUUCAUAACUUCAUUGCAGUGGAUAGCUGCUGAGUGUGAGGAGGGGUUUAUUGUUGUUCUAUAGAUAGAAAACAGAGGAAGAAAUGAUAAUGAAUAGAGAAUAUCUUGAUGUGUGGACUCUUAAUGGGAGACUGUAGCACAAGUCUUUGACCUCGGUGACAAUGGUGACCCUCAGCAUUUCUACAAAUAGUAUCAGAAGUCCCCAAGGUGGCCAUUUGUAAAGCAAGAAAUGCUAUAAUGCUCACUUAGCAGAACUCAACUUAAAUGUUUUGCCCAGCAUCAGAGCAUCUGGCUGCAUGAGAGACAGGGGAAUAACUGUGUCUUCAGGGUGUCAGUCCACUUGCAUAGUCAUGAAACUGCCCUUGCUCUUUCUUUCCUGCUCAGUGCUUCAUUUACUGCAUGGUGUUUCUUUUGGGCCAUACAUGUCAAUGUGGGCCCUACAGAUGGCUUUCUUUAGCUUUCUAAUUCCCUCAUGAGGCAAAGGCUUUUGUAGUUGGAAGUCCCUGUGUGCUUAAAGACAAGAAGGCUAAGUUAAGUUUACCUUAGGCCGUAAGAGUCCUGUAUAGAUCCCUGAUAUUUUGCUAUACUUGGUUUUAAAGUAAAACUCAUGGGGAGAAUUAGUGUCUUUUAUUACACUAAUAGAUCCUGUGGGUCUACAAACUUAAGUGCAUGAGUCCUUCAGAUUUGAAGCCUUCCUUCUCACAUCAGUUAAUUUAAUGUUGCUUUUUCUUACACAACCCAUCUCUGUUAUGUCCUCAGAUCACUGAGUCUA